AUGGAUUUGUUGAAGACUGCAGAGAAGGGCUAGAUGAAAGAAGCUGACUGUCAGAGGCAAGGAAGGGACAAAAGAAGAAGCAAGAGGUUGACAGACCGGAGAAGGGUUUCCUACUUACAGUUUGGGUUCAGGAAAAAGCCUCAUCAGACCGGGGCUAGUGAACCACAAUGCAAACAUGUAAGUUACACCACCCUAAAUUCCAUUACAAGCCAGCGAGUCUGUGUCAUUAGC